AUGAACGCUGGCGGCGUGCCUCAUACAUGCAAGUCGAGCGAACAGACGAGGAGCUUGCUCCUCUGACGUUAGCGGCGGACGGGUGAGUAACACGUGGAUAACCUACCUAUAAGACUGGGAUAACUUCGGGAAACCGGAGCUAAUACCGGAUAAUAUAUUGAACCGCAUGGUUCAAUAGUGAAAGACGGUUUUGCUGUCACUUAUAGAUGGAUCCGCGCCGCAUUAGCUAGUUGGUAAGGUAACGGCUUACCAAGGCAAUGAUGCGUAGCCGACCUGAGAGGGUGAUCGGCCACACUGGAACUGAGACACGGUCCAGACUCCUACGGGAGGCAGCAGUAGGGAAUCUUCCGCAAUGGGCGAAAGCCUGACGGAGCAACGCCGCGUGAGUGAUGAAGGUCUUCGGAUCGUAAAACUCUGUUAUUAGGGAAGAACAAAUGUGUAAGUAACUAUGCACGUCUUGACGGUACCUAAUCAGAAAGCCACGGCUAACUACGUG
rnacentral:rRNA from 1 species